CCAUAUACAGAAUAAGAAAUUUUAAUGAGAAUAUUACCAUGCUAUAAACCAAAUGAACAACAGAGUCAAUAGUUAGUGGCUACCAGUGUCUUCUUCAUUCAUGAGAACUGCUCCAUAUCUCCUUGCCGGGCCAAAGGAACCAAACGUGGACUGACAAGGUCCCUGGGAUCCAACCUGGGCUGCCAACCUUCGGGACACUAAGGACAGAUGAGCAGAGACACAGUCCCUCACUCAAUCUGGCCUCCCAGAUUGGGUAAAGUGGCUGGCCAUCAUGUCCCUGUCUUUCUCAUGUCUCCAUCCAAGCAGAGCUGGGAUAAGGAAUAGAACUAUCAGGAAGAGGCAUAAGUGAAACAAACUCACUAUGUGCUGGACAGACACUCUGACUGCAGAGAACGUGACCACUCCUGAAAUGAUCCCUCUACCUCAGUGAGUACUUGAAUUUCUCACAAGACAAAAAUGUCUUUUCUCUACAUGAUUUGGAAGAGAGGUCCGUGGCAACAGAAAGAUGCAGCCUACAAACCUUAUGGAUGGGUGGUCAGGCAACCUCCUCAAUGAACUGUUGAGAAAGACAAUUAAGGAGGCAGAAGAGUCAGGGCAGGUGUAACAUUGUCUAAAUACCCAUGAGUGUCCAUUACCACAGUGUUACUCUGGAUCAGCCUGGAAUCAAAACAAAACACAGUCUACCUUCCCUUUGCAGGGGGCUGUAAGUGUGCAGGGCAAGACUGAAAGCCAAGGUGCCACCGUCCUGUAGGACGUUGUGUGUUGUGAAGCCCACGCCUAGAGUCUGUGUAUGAUAAAAUAAUGCACAAUGUUUUCAAGGCCUCACUGCUCCCUUCCUGGCUGGCACCAGCACUGUGUGCCUUCUGGGGUGUCAAAUUGAGAAGAAAAAUGUUUUUGCUACCACCCUGCUGCUUUUCAAAAUAACACAUCCAGCGAGCCAGCUGUGUUAGGACAAAAAGCGUAGCAGCACUUCUGAAGUCGGUGUUGUGUAACCAGU
rnacentral:lncRNA from 1 species